GACUCUCGGCAACGGAUAUCUCGGCUCUCGCAUCGAUGAAGAACGUAGCAAAAUGCGAUACCUGGUGUGAAUUGCAGAAUCCCGCGAACCAUCGAGUUUUUGAACGCAAGUUGCGCCCGAGGCCUUCCGGCCGAGGGCACGUCUGCCUGGGCGUCA
rnacentral:rRNA from 2 species